rnacentral:rRNA from 1 species
UGCCGGUUUUAAGCCGGAGGAAGGUGGGGAUGACGUCAAGUCAGCAUGGCCUUUAUAUCCUGGGCUACACACACGCUACAAUGGUCGGUACAAUAGGUUGCCAAGCCGCGAGGCGGAGCCGAAUCCACAAAGCCGGCCUCAGUUCAGAUUGUAGGCUGCAACUCGCCUGCAUGAAGAUGGAGUUGCUAGUAACCGCAGGUCAGCAAUACUGCGGUGAAUACGUUCCCGGGUCUU